CUUGGACAGUGGUUUCCCCAGAGGGCAGCAGGGGUCUAAAGGAACUACUAUCAGAUGAGACUUCCUGCACGUGUGCUUGACACCUGCCUGCACACCUGUCUGGUGGAGGUGAGCUGCUGGUCCCAUCUCUUCCCUGUUCUGUGCUUGGCAACAUCACUGGGCAGAUGGAAACUGCCUGCAGUGGAGGUAUUCACACCAAGGAGAGACGCAACCGCUACGUGGAGGGGCUUCUCCCUGGGAACAGGUAAUUAGUAAUUUUCCAAGGUCCCUCCCUGGAGAUGCUUGAGGUCACUAGUGUCCUC
rnacentral:lncRNA from 1 species